rnacentral:lncRNA from 1 species
CAAAUAAAGAGGGAACUGUUCCAAAACGGAGCAAGAAAAAUACUGUAUGUUGGUAUAAGAUUCAAACACUACGUUCUAUUACAGCGUAGCAAACCUUAAUGUUCCAUUGGAACAAAAACUAGCUCAAACCGGAUUGGAUUCUCCCCCUCCCUCCCUCCCUAUUGAAUUCAUUAUAGCAUCAAUCUGACGGACAAGCUACUCUCCGCCCCUGGUAGCCAUUGAUUGGCUUUAGGAGCCGUCAACACAUUUUCAAAUCAUAGCGAGAUACCUGUGUGGAUAAUUUUACAUGGCAAUCAGAUCUAUAUGUAUUUGUCUUUAGAUGAGCACUCAUCAGGGGUUAAUUCCAGAAAUGGUCAGCAGGCCACAGUCAAGUACGGUAAGCGAUGUAAACCUGAGAUGUAUGGAGUAUAAACUCCUAAAAUAUAUAAUUAAAAUUCAUUGGUAUAUUUUCAUAGUAGCUAGGCUUAUUUCACAAUCUUGCAAUAGGAAACUACAAAUAUUUAAUAGAUGUGGGACUGGAUGAUGACGGACAGAUGCACAGUCCAAUGGGAGCAAGUGGCAGAGAGUGACGUCCUCUCUGUCUCUCCCAGGCCGUGCUGAUGAUGUCUCUGAUCUGGAAGUACUAUGCUGACCCAGUGACGGUUCUGCCCAGUAAGUGGCUUUUCUCCUCUAGAGCGAAUGGUGGCCUUCCCAUCUGGAGUAGCAGGUAAGCCAGAUUACAGUGCCUGCCCUGAGAGGGGCUCUUAACACCAGGUGGGGUUGCGUCUUCAAUGGCUCCCUA